UACAGAGGGGGCGAGCGUUGUUCGGAAUUACUGGGCGUAAAGGGCGCGUAGGCGGCCCGCUAAGUCGAACGUGAAAUCCCCAGGCUCAACCUGGGAACUGCGUCCGAUACUGGCAGGCUUGAAUCCGGGAGAGGGAUGUGGAAUUCCAGGUGUAGCGGUGAAAUGCGUAGAUAUCUGGAGGAACACCGGUGGCGAAGGCGGCAUCCUGGACCGGUAUUGACGCUGAGGCGCGAAAGCUAGGGGAGGCAAACGGG
rnacentral:rRNA from 1 species